rnacentral:tmRNA from 1 species
GGGGGCGAAACGGCUUCGACGGGGACAAAGAAGUGCUGGUUGCAUACCGAGUGCUCAUCGGCUCGUUAACUCGAUGGGAAAUAAACAUAAUCGCAGACGAUUAUAACUACGCCGUAGCCGCUUAGGCGGCUGCCGUCCUGCCGAUUCACCUCCUGCGGAUUCGGUAAGGGCGUCGACUAGCAGGAUCAGUUCAUACCCAAUGCCUGUUAAGGUAUGGAUGAAAUUUUAGCAGGCUAGCGGUUCCAGCCUCUCGCCCGAUGGAGCCUCGAACCGCGAAAUUAAUCAUCGGGACAUGUAUGUAGACGCCAGUGCGGAAUGUUUUCGGACGCGGGUUCAACUCCCGCCGCCUCCACCA